rnacentral:rRNA from 1 species
ACGUAAGGGGCGAGCGUUGUUCGGAAUUAUUGGGCGUAAAGGGCGUGUAGGCGGUUUGGUAAGCCUGGUGUAAAAGGCGUACGCUUAACGUACGUAGGUCGCUGGGGACUGUCAGACUAGAGUGUAGGAAGGGGAGCUGGAAUUCCAGGUGUAGGGGUGAAAUCUGUAGAUAUCUGGAAGAACACCGAUGGCGAAGGCAAGCUUCUAGCCAUACACUGACGCUGAGGCGCGAAAGCGUGGGGAGCGAACAG